GCCUGGGUGGCUCAGUUGGUUGGGUGUCUGACUUCAGCUCAGGUCAUGAUCUCAUGGUUCAUGGGUUCAAGCCCCGUGUCGGGCU
rnacentral:tRNA from 1 species